rnacentral:rRNA from 1 species
AGCGAACGCUGGCGGCAGGCCUAACACAUGCAAGUCGAACGAACCCUUCGGGGUUAGCGGCGGACGGGUGAGUAACACGUGGGAACGUGCCUUUAGGUUCGGAAUAACUCAGGGAAACUUGUGCUAAUACCGCAUGUGCCCUUCGGGGGAAAGAUUUAUCGCCUUUAGAGCGGCCCGCGUCUGAUUAGCUAGUUGGUGAGGUAAUGGCUCACCAAGGCUACGAUCAGUAGCUGGUCUGAGAGGAUGACCAGCCACAUUGGGACUGAGACACGGCCCAAACUCCUACGGGAGGCAGCAGUGGGGAAUCUUGCGCAAUGGGCGAAAGCCUGACGCAGCCAUGCCGCGUGGAUGAUGAAGGUCUUAGGAUUGUAAAAUCCUUUCACCGGUGAAGAUAAUGACUGUAGCCGGAGAAGAAGCCCCGGCUAACUUCGUGCCAGCAGCCGCCGUAACAC